ACGGGUGAGUAACACGUGAGUAACCUGCCCUUGACUCUGGGAUAAGCCUGGGAAACUGGGUCUAAUACCGGAUAUGACUCCUCAUCGCAUGGUGGGGGGUGGAAAGCUUUUUUGUGGUUUUGGAUGGACUCGCGGCCUAUCAGCUUGUUGGUGAGGUAAUGGCUUACCAAGGCGACGACGGGUAGCCGGCCUGAGAGGGUGACCGGCCACACUGGGACUGAGACACGGCCCAGACUCCUACGGGAGGCAGCAGUGGGGAAUAUUGCACAAUGGGCGCAAGCCUGAUGCAGCGACGCCGCGUGAGGGAUGACGGCCUUCGGGUUGUAAACCUCUUUCAGUAGGGAAGAAGCGUAAGUGACGGUACCUGCAGAAGAAGCGCCGGCUAACUACGUACCAGCAGCCGCGGUAAUACGUAGGGCGCAAGCGUUAUCCGGAAUUAAUGGGCGUAAAGAGCUCGUAGCGGUUUGUCGCGUCUGCCGUGAAAGUCCGGGGCUCAACUCCGGAUCUGCGGUGGUACGGGCAGACUAGAGUGAUGUAGGGGAGACUGGAAUUCCUGGUGUAGCGGUGAAAUGCGCAGA
rnacentral:rRNA from 1 species